UACGUAGGGGGCAAGCGUUAUCCGGAUUUACUGGGUGUAAAGGGAGCGUAGGUGGCAAGGCAAGCCAGAAGUGAAAACCCGGGGCUUAACCCCGCGGAUUGCUUUUGGAACUGUCUGGCUGGAGUGCAGGAGGGGCAGGCGGAAUUCCUAGUGUAGCGGUGAAAUGCGUAGAUAUUAGGAGGAACACCGGUGGCGAAGGCGGCCUGCUGGACUGUAACUGACACUGAGGCUCGAAAGCGUGGGGAGCAAACAGG
rnacentral:rRNA from 1 species